GCAAGUCGAGCGAAGUAUUUCUGGUGCUUGCACUAGAAAAACUCAGCGGCGAACGUAUGAGUAACACGUAAAGAACCUGCCUCAUAGACUGAGACAACUAUUGGAAACGAUAGCUAAUACCGGAUAACAGCAUUAACUGCAUGGUUGAUGUUUGAAAGUUGGUUUUGCUAACACUAUGAGAUGGCUUUGCGGUGCAUUAGCUAGUUGGUGGGGUAAAGGCCUACCAAGGCGACGAUGCAUAGCCGACCUGAGAGGGUGAUC
rnacentral:rRNA from 1 species